AUCCAGCUGGUGAGUCCCAAAUAGGACGAUACGUGCGUCCUGGAU
rfam:Schistosoma mansoni, Puerto Rico, WGS project CABG01000000 data, contig: 0113